rnacentral:rRNA from 1 species
CCUACGGGUGGCAGCAGUGGGGGAUAUUGCACAAUGGGGGAAACCCUGAUGCAGCGACGCCGCGUGUAGGAAGACGGUCCUCUGGAUUGUAAACUACUGUCCCCAGGGACGAAGAUGACGGUACCUGGGGAGGAAGCUCCGGCUAACUACGUGCCAGCAGCCGCGGUAAUACGUAGGGAGCGAGCGUUGUCCGGAAUUACGGGGUGUAAAGGGAGCGUAGGCGGGGAUGCAAGUUGGGUGUUAAAUCUACCGGCUCAACGGGGAGUCGCACUCAAAACUGCAGCUCUUGAGUGAAGUAGAGGCAGGCGGAAUUCCGAGUGUAGCGGUGAAAUGCGUAGAUAUUAGGAGGAACACCAGUGGCGAGGGCGGCCUGCUGGGCUUUUACUGACGCUGAGGCUCGAAAGUGUGGGGAGCAAACAGGAUUAGAUACCCGGGUAGUC